rnacentral:tRNA from 1 species
CAGCUGGGAGUUUGUUUUAUAGAAUAUGUGCUUUGGAAGUAUAAGGUCUAAAAUUUAUUUUAGUUGGCUGG